rnacentral:misc_RNA from 1 species
UCAAUGGACCUCUGCCAAGAGUGUUCAUAUCACAACUUCUUGUGGAUCAGAUGAGUCAACAAACUCAGGAAAUAAUUAGAAAAUAUACUGAAAGUUCUUACAAUGGGAAGAAGCAUGCUGCUCUGGCCAGUGCUCUGGGUUCCUUGACAUGGGAAAAGCCUUCGCAUUCAGAGUUUGUGCAAUUAGCGAGGGAGAGUGAAUAUGCUGCUUGGACUCUCGUGAAUGGUUAUGCACUUAAUCAUGUGACUAUUUCGACCCAUCGCCUGAAAUCUUAUCUGAAAAAUAUCAAAAGCCUCAAUCAGUUCAUCGAAGAGAAUGGUUACAAACUGAAUAAUGAAGGUGGUGUUUUGAAAGUAAGUCCGGA